GCGGUUUUUUAAGUCUGAUGUGAAAGCCCACGGCUCAACCGUGGAGGGUCAUUGGAAACUGGAAAACUUGAGUGCAGAAGAGGAAAGUGGAAUUCCAUGUGUAGCGGUGAAAUGCGCAGAGAUAUGGAGGAACACCAGUGGCGAAGGCGACUUUCUGGUCUGUAACUGACGCUGAUGUGCGAAAGCGUGGGGAUCAAACAGGAUUAGAUACCCUGGUAGUCCACGCCGUAAACGAUGAGUGCUAAGUGUUAGGGGGUUUCCGCCCCUUAGUGCUGCAGCUAACGCAUUAAGCACCCCGCCUGGGGAGUACGACCGCAAGGUUGAAACUCAAAGGAAUUGACGGGGACCCGCACAAGCGGUGGAGCACGUGGUUUAAUUCGAAGCAACGCGAAGAACCUUACCAAAUCUUGACAUCCUCUGACCCCUCUAGAGAUAGAGUUUUCCCCUUCGGGGGACAGAGUGACAGGUGGUGCAUGGUUGUCGUCAGCUCGUGUCGUGAGAUGUUGGGUUAAGUCCCGCAACGAGCGCAACCCUUAAGCUUAGUUGCCAUCAUUAAGUUGGGCACUCUAAGUUGACUGCCGGUGACAAACCGGAGGAAGGUGGGGAUGACGUCAAAUCAUCAUGCCCCUUAUGAUUUGGGCUACACACGUGCUACAAUGGACAAUACAAAGGGCAGCGAAACCGCGAGGUCAAGCAAACCCCAUAAAGUUGUUCUCAGUUCGGAUUGUAGUCUGCAACUCGACUAUAUGAAGCUGGAAUCGCUAGUAAUCGUAGAUCAGCAUGCUACGGUGAGUACG
rnacentral:rRNA from 1 species